rnacentral:rRNA from 1 species
UACGAAGGGGGCUAGCGUUGCUCGGAAUCACUGGGCGUAAAGGGUGCGUAGGCGGGUCUUUAAGUCAGGGGUGAAAUCCUGGAGCUCAACUCCAGAACUGCCUUUGAUACUGAGGAUCUUGAGUAUGGGAGAGGUGAGUGGAACUGCGAGUGUAGAGGUGAAAUUCGUAGAUAUUCGCAAGAACACCGGUGGCGAAGGCGGCUCACUGGCUCGUUUCUGACGCUCAUGCACGCAGCGUGGGGAUCAAACAGG